rnacentral:rRNA from 1 species
CAGCUAUAUCACGUUGAAACCCCGGUUUUCGUGCGAUCACAGAAGUUAAGCAACAUUGAGUCUGGUCAGUACCUAGAUGGGUAACCGUUUGGGAAUACCAAGUGCUGUAA